rnacentral:lncRNA from 1 species
CUCUUAUUAAGCUUCUUUCUUCAGAAAAGUACCCAAUUUAGGGUCUGCAUUUUAAGAAUUAUUAACAAAUAUCUUCAUAAAAAUUUGGGAAAAGGAGUGUGGAUAGAUUUAAACAUAAAAAUAUGGAGAAUAGUUCUAACAGGGUUUGAAUUAUAGCAACAAUGGAUUGUGUAAGAAGUGAAUCUUAUUUUUAUUUUUAAAUGUUCUAAAUAGGACAAUCAGAGAUGACUUGGUUGUAGUGUGGAAACCAGUAGGGACCUUGGGAAGCUGCCAAACCCUUUCUAGCUCUGGGCUCAGCUGUAAGAACUGCUGAUUCCUACAGGAACACUUGGACAAUCCAAUACCUAAAUGUUAACCAUCAAUUAACCCAGUAAACCUGCAAGAUGGAAACGAAGAUUUGUUCUCACGAGUUUCACGUGAUUAUUUAAAUAGCCAACUGGGGUCUUCCCAUUGCUGCCAUCAAUGAUAUGAAAAAGUCUCCAGAGAUUAUCAGUGGGCGGAUGACAUUUGCCCUCUGUUGCUAUUCUUUGACAUUCAUGAGAUUUGCCUACAAGGUACAGCCUCGGAACUGGCUUCUGUUUGCAUGCCACGCAACAAAUGAAGUAGCCCAGCUCAUCCAGGGAGGGCGGCUUAUCAAACACGAGAUGACUAAAACGGCAUCUGCAUAACAAUGGAAAAGGAAGAACAAGGUCUUGAAGGGACAGCAUUGCCAGCUGCUGCUGAGUCACAGAUUUCAUUAUAAAUAGCCUCCCUAAGGAAAAUACACUGAAUGCUAUUUUUACUAACCAUUCUAUUUUUAUAGAAAUAGCUGAGAGUUUCUAAACCAACUCUCUGCUGCCUUACAAGUAUUAAAUAUUUUACUUCUUUCCAUAAAGAGUAGCUCAAAAUAUGCAAUUAAUUUAAUAAUUUCUGAUGAUGGUUUUAUCUGCAGUAAUAUGUAUAUCAUCUAUUAGAAUUUACUUAAUGAAAAACUGAAGAGAACAAAAUUUGUAACCACUAGCACUUAAGUACUCCUGAUUCUUAACAUUGUCUUUAAUGACCACAAGACAACCAACAGCUGGCCACGUACUUAAAAUUUUGUCCCCACUGUUUAAAAAUGUUACCUGUGUAUUUCCAUGCAGUGUAUAUAUUGAGAUGCUGUAACUUAAUGGCAAUAAAUGAUUUAAAUAUUUGUUAAA